rnacentral:tRNA from 1 species
CGCGGGAUGGUGAAGUCUGGUCUAACACACAUGGUUCAUACCCAUGCACCGCAGGUUCAAAUCCUGCUCCCGCAACCA